GAUGAACGCUGGCGGCGUGCCUAAUACAUGCAAGUCGAGCGAACAGACGAGGAGCUUGCCCUUCUGACGUUAGCGGCGGACGGGUGAGUAACACGUGGAUAACCUCCCUAUAAGACUGGGAUAACUUCGGGAAACCGGAGCUAAUACCGGAUAAUAUAUUGAACCGCAUGGUUCAAUAGUGAAAGACGGUUUUGCUGUCACUUAUAGAUGGAUCCGCGCCGCAUUAGCUAGUUGGUAAGGUAACGGCUUACCAAGGCAACGAUGCGUAGCCGACCUGAGAGGGAGGACGGCCACACUGGAGCUGAGGCACGGUCCAGACUCCUAAGGGGAGGAGCAGUAGGGAAUCUUCCGCAAUGGGCGGAAGCCUGACGGAGCAACGCCGCGUGAGUGAUGAAGGUCUUCGGAUCGUAAAACUCUGUUAGUAGGGAAAAACAAAUGUGUAAGUAACUCUGCACGUCUUGACGGUACCUGAUCAGAAAGCCACGGCUAACUACGUG
rnacentral:rRNA from 1 species